AUUGAACGCUGGCGGCAUGCUUUACACAUGCAAGUCGAACGGUAACAGGUUAAGCUGACGAGUGGCGAACGGGUGAGUAAUGCAUCGGAACGUGCCCGGUCGUGGGGGAUAACGCAGCGAAAGCUGCGCUAAUACCGCAUACGAUCUGAGGAUGAAAGCGGGGGACCGUAAGGCCUCGCGCGAUCGGAGCGGCCGAUGUCAGAUUAGGUAGUUGGUGGGGUAAAGGCUCACCAAGCCAACGAUCUGUAGCUGGUCUGAGAGGACGACCAGCCACACUGGAACUGAGACACGGCCCAGACUCCUAGGGGAGGCAGCAGUGGGGAAUUUUGGACAAUGGGCGAAAGCCUGAUCCAGCAAUGCCGCGUGCAGGAAGAAGGCCUUCGGGUUGUAAACUGCUUUUGUACGGAGCGAAAAGGCCUCCUCUAAUACAGGGGGCUCAUGACGGUACCGUAAGAAUAAGCACCGGCUAACUACGUGCCAGCCGCCGCGGUAA
rnacentral:rRNA from 1 species